rnacentral:rRNA from 1 species
CCUACGGGAGGCAGCAGUAGGGAAUUUUCGGCAAUGAGCGAAAGCUUGACCGAGCAAUGGUGCGUGAGCGAUGAAGGUCUUUGGAUUGUAAAGCUCUUUUAUUGGGGAAGAAAAACUCGAUUAGGAAAUGAAUCGAAAUUGACGGUACCCAUUGAAUAAGCCCCGGCCAACUAUGUGCCAGCCGCCGCGGUAAU